GUAGGUGGCAAGCGUUGUCCGGAAUUAUUGGGCGUAAAGCGCGCGCAGGCGGUUCUUUAAGUCUGAUGUGAAAGCCCACGGGCUCAACCGUGGAGGGUCAUUGGAAACUGGAGAACUUGAGUACAGAAGAGGAAAGCGGAAUUCCACGUGUAGCGGUGAAAUGCGUAGAGAUGUGGAGGAACACCAGUGGCGAAGACGGCUUUCUGGUCUGUAACUGACGCUGAGGCGCGAAAGCGUGGGGAGCAAACAGGAUUAGAUACCCUGGUAGUCCACGCCGUAAACGAUGAGUGCUAAGUGUUAGGGGGUUUCCGCCCCUUAGUGCUGCAGCUAACGCAUUAAGCACUCCGCCUGGGGAGUACGGCCGCAAGGCUG
rnacentral:rRNA from 1 species